rnacentral:lncRNA from 1 species
UUCUCUCAUCUCCUUCUCUCUCAAAUUCGAUCUCCGCCACCACCACCACCACCACCACUAAAGAACAACACUCACCACCACCACCAGUCCACCACCACCACUAAAGAACUACACUUCAAUUGUCGUUGACUCGUUGGCUUCACCCUUCAUUUUCGAAUCAGGUAAUUUAAUAAUUUAUAUCUCAAUUUCGACAAUGGCAACUCUGGUUUCUUCUGUUAGUUAAUUAGCUAGCUACUCAUCUCUCCGCACAAUGAACCUAGCCACCUUAAUCCCUUUUGUUCAGAUUUCACUACCCACACACUUUCUUUCUCCA